rnacentral:rRNA from 1 species
GCGGCGUCUCGCCGUCGGGAGCUGUAGCGUAUAGGGGCGGCUGUCCGUGCGUUUUGCUCACUCGAAGUCCCCUUGAGCGGGGCCACAGUCCAUAGAAGGUGCGAGACCUGUACGAGUGGCGAGGCGUGCGGUAGGUCGCCUCUCGGAGUCGGGUUGCCUGAGAACGCAGCCCAAAGAAGGUGGUAAACCUCAUCUAAGGCUAAAUACGGCCACGAGACCGAUAGCGAACAAGUACCGUGAGGGAAAGUUGCAAAGAACUUUGAAGAGAGAGUUCAAGAGGGCGUGAAAUCGCCAAGAUUGAAGCGGAUAGAGUCGACGAAACUCGGCGGCAUUCAUGCGCUGUGACUUGCGUGGUUGUGCUCGCGAUCCCUAGCGGGGCGUGGGUGUGAUUUAACGCCGGUAGCGGCGCUGCAAUUGCCGUCGGUAUGUGCCGAGAACGCGGUUGUCGUGCGUCGAAGCGAGUAUAGUGGACCAGACGCUUGCGUUUGUGAACCUGUGCACGUUGAGGCGUGUCGGUGAUCGCGUAGUAGUGCGGAUGUUGUGCGCUUGGCUUGCGUUGUCUGGCUGGCCGUCGGCGGUCGCAUGCGACUUGAUCGACGGUUUAGAGAGGCGGCGUGGGUCGGGUGUGUUCGUCUGCGAUGGGUCUCGGCGUGACCGUUGAUCACCUAUCCGACCCGUCUUGAAACACGGACCAAGGAGUCUAGCAUAUGCGCGAGUCAUGAGGUGUGCGAAACCGAGAGGCGAAGUGAAGGUGAAUACCGACUUAGAUCGGCUGAUAUGAGAUGCCCGCAGACACGGCUGCGAGCGGCAUCAUAGCCCCGUCCUCGUUGCUUGCAAUGGGGCGGAGGCAGAGCGUGUGCGCUGGUACCCGAAAGAUGGUGAACUAUGCCUGAGCAGGGUGAAGCCAGAGGAAACUCUGGUGGAGGCCCGAAGCGCUUCUGACGUGCAAAUCGAUCGUCUGACUUUGGUAUAGGGGCGAAAGACUAAUCG